GGUUGCGAUCAUACCAGCACUAAUGCACCGGAUUCCAUCAGAACUCCGCAGUUAAGCGUGCUUGGGCGAGAGUAGUACUAGGAUGGGUGACCACCUGGGAAGUCCUCGUGUUGCAACCC
rnacentral:rRNA from 1 species